rnacentral:misc_RNA from 1 species
UAUGCAUAUAGUAUGUCACUUUAAUUUCUAUGUACAUCAAAGUGUGUGUUACAGAGUAGCAAUUAAUGAUGUUUUAAUGUUUAUUGUAUCAUACUGUAGGAUGGUAAUAGGUUUUGGAAGAUGCCAGAGUGUUUCAUGAGAGGCGGUAUGAUUAAAUACUUAAGAAGUCCUGAUGAGAUAUUGUUGUGGGAAGCAGCUCAAACUUUCUGCAUAGCAUAAAUACAUCCAUAUGCAUCAGUGGAGUAAUUUUGGAGUCAAUUUUUGGAGGGCUGAUUUUCAAAAAUUGCAAGUAUCAUAUAAAGCAGCUGAUGAGGACAUUGAAGCAAUUGAAAGAGAAGAAGAGGAAGGAAAGGAGAAUGAAAAAGACAAAAGAAAGGACAAUAAUGAAGAAAGUAUUCAUUUAGAUAUGGAGGCAGAGUCAAUGUAUGAGUGGUCACUCCCAUCACAGAAGAGUACAUCAAUGGACUCUAGUAGGAUUGAAGCAGUUGUUUCCAGUAAUCCUCACUUGUCUGAGUACAUAUAUGAUGCAGAGAAUGAGAGAUGGUGUCAGUUCACACUAAAAUUUGAGACUGGUAAUGAUAAGAUUAUGAUGUCUUAUUUUAUAGAAAAACUAUCAAACAAAAUUGUUGUUUGGGAGGUUCCUGAUAUUAAGAAAAGAUUCCUUGCUGAGAGCUAAGUACCUGGAGAAGAGGAAAUCUACCGUUUAAAAACUGAAGGUAUCAAUAUGCAGGAACUGAGGAAGCAUUCUGACCUGCUCAAUGUUAGGAAAGUAUAUACUAACAAUAUACACACUAUUGCCUCCACUUUUAGCAUUUAAGCUGCUGCUGUAGCCAUUAUCAAAAUUAAUAACCAUAUACAAUGACUGGUCACAGGAAUUUCUGUAUGCUUCUCCUACAGGAAGUAUCAAGUGUAUUCAAUGUGUAUGGCAUAUCAGUUAAUCAUCAUCACCUGUCCCUUAUUGCUGAUUACAUGAGAUUUGAUGGAGACUAUGAGUCCUUUAGUAGGUUUGGUAUGAACAGUAACAGCUCUCCAUUCCAACAGAUGAGUUUUGAGACUACAAUGAAGUUCUUAAGAAGUGCAACAGUUAGAGGAGAUGUUGAUACUCUUUAGUCGCCCUCAGCUUGUCUGGUGACUGGUAAUGUGGUCCAUGGGGGGACUGGAGCUUUUCAAUGUUUACAAAAACUAGUUAUGUGAUCUUAAUUGUUUUAUUGAAUUAACUUAAUAAUUA